AGCCGAGCGGUAGGUUUCCUUCGGGAGACUGAGAGCGGCGCACGGGUGCGGAACACGUGUGCAACCUGCCUUUAUCAGGGGGAUAGCCUUUCGAAAGGAAGAUUAAUACCCCAUAAUAUAUUGAGUGGCAUCACUUGAUAUUGAAAACUCCGGUGGAUAGAGAUGGGCACGCGCAGGAUUAGAUAGUUGGUAGGGUAACGGCCUACCAAGUCAACGAUCCUUAGGGGGCCUGAGAGGGUGAUCCCCCACACUGGUACUGAGACACGGACCAGACUCCUACGGGAGGCAGCAGUGAGGAAUAUUGGACAAUGGGUGAGAGCCUGAUCCAGCCAUCCCGCGUGAAGGACGACGGCCCUAUGGGUUGUAAACUUCUUUUGUAUAGGGAUAAACCUACUCUCGUGAGAGUAGCUGAAGGUACUAUACGAAUAAGCACCGGCUAACUCCGUGCCAGCAGCCGCGGUAAUACGGAGGGUGCAAGCGUUAUCCGGAUUUAUUGGGUUUAAAGGGUCCGUAGGCUGAUUUGUAAGUCAGUGGUGAAAUCUCACAGCUCAACUGUGAAACUGCCAUUGAUACUGCAAGUCUUGAGUGUUGUUGAAGUAGCUGGAAUAAGUAGUGUAGCGGUGAAAUGCAUAGAUAUUACUU
rnacentral:rRNA from 1 species